rnacentral:misc_RNA from 1 species
GAUGAAGAACGUAGCGAAAUGCGAUAAGUAGUGUGAAUUGCAGAAUUCAGUGAAUCAUCGAAUCUUUGAACGCACAUUGCGCCCCUUGGUAUUCCAUGGGGCAUGCCUGUUCGAGCGUCAUUACGCCCCUCAAGUCCCCUGUGGACUUGGUGUUGGGGAUCGGCGAGGCUGGUUUUCCAGCACAGCCGUCCCUUAAAUUAAUUGGCGGUCUCGCCGUGGCCCUCCUCUGCGCAGUAGUAAAACACUCGCAACAGGAGCCCGGCGCGGUCCACUGCCGUAAAACCCCCCAACUUUUUAUAGUUGACCUCGAAUCAGGUAGGACUACCCGCUGAACUUAAGCAUAUCAAUAAGCGGAGGA